rnacentral:rRNA from 1 species
UACGGAGGGGGCUAGCGUUGUUCGGAAUUACUGGGCGUAAAGCGCGCGUAGGCGGAUCAGUCAGUCAGGGGUGAAAUCCCGGGGCUCAACCCCGGAACUGCCUUUGAUACUGCUGAUCUCGAGGACAGGAGAGGAGAGUGGAAUUCCCAGUGUAGAGGUGAAAUUCGUAGAUAUCGGAGGAACACCAGAGGCGAAGGCGGCUCACUGGACCGAUACUGACGCUGAGGGCGAAAGCGUGGGGAGCAAACAGGAUUAGAUACCCGUAGUCC